rnacentral:rRNA from 1 species
UACAGAGGUCUCAAGCGUUGUUCGGAUUCAUUGGGCUUAAAGGGUGCGUAGGCGGCGGGGCAAGUCGGAUGUGAAAUCUCAGGGCUCAACCCUGAAACUGCAUUCGAUACUGCCUUGCUCGAGGACUGGAGAGGAGAUUGGAAUUCACGGUGUAGCAGUGAAAUGCGUAGAUAUCGUGAGGAAGACCAGUGGCGAAGGCGGAUCUCUGGACAGUUCCUGACGCUGAGGCACGAAGGCCAGGGGAGCAAACGGG